rnacentral:rRNA from 1 species
AUUGAACGCUGGCGGCAUGCUUUACACAUGCAAGUCGAACGGUCACAGGCCUUCGGGUGCUGACGAGUGGCGAACGGGUGCGUAAUGCAUCGGAACGUACCCAGAGGUGGGGGAUAACGCAGCGAAAGCUGUGCUAAUACCGCAUGUGAUCUGAGGAUGAAAGCGGGGGACCGAGCAGCAAUGUUUGGCCUCGCGCCUUUGGAGCGGCCGAUGUCGGAUUAGCUAGUUGGUGGGGUAAAGGCCUACCAAGGCGACGAUCCGUAGCUGGUCUGAGAGGACGACCAGCCACACUGGGACUGAGACACGGCCCAGACUCCUACGGGAGGCAGCAGUGGGGAAUUUUGGACAAUGGGCGCAAGCCUGAUCCAGCAAUGCCGCGUGCGGGAAGAAGGCCUUCGGGUUGUAAACCGCUUUUGGCAGGAACGAAACGGUGUCCGCUAAUACCGGGCGCUAAUGACGGUACCUGCAGAAUAAGCACCGGCUAACUACGUG